rnacentral:rRNA from 1 species
UACGUAGGGUGCAAGCGUUGUCCGGAAUUACUGGGCGUAAAGGGCUCGUAGGCGGCCAACUAAGUCAGACGUGAAAUCCCUCAGCUUAACUGGGGAACUGCGUCUGAUACUGGAUGGCUUGGAUUCGGGAGAGGAAUGCGGAAUUCCAGGUGUAGCGGUGAAAUGCGUAGAUAUCUGGAGGAACACCGGUGGCGAAGGCGGCAUUCUGGACCGACAUUGACGCUGAGGAGCGAAAGCCAGGGGAGCAAACGGG